UGUCUCAAAGAUUAAGCCAUGCAUGUCUACGCAUAAACGAAUCUAAAGUGAAGCCGCGAAUAGCUCAUUACAACAGCCGUUGUUUCUUGGAUCUCCGCUUUUACUUGGAUAACUGUGGCAAUUCUAGAGCUAAUACAUGCAAUCGAGCUCCGACUUAACAGGACGAGCGCAUUUAUUAGACCAAAACCAAUCGGCGCAAGCCGUUUUCUGGUGAAUCUGAAUAACUACGCAGAUCGCUUCGGUUUCACACCGGCGACAUAUCCUUCAAGUGUCUGCUUUAUCAACUUUCGUUGGUAGUUUAUACGCCUACCAAGGUUUUAACGGAUAACGGAGAAUCAGGGUUCGACUCCGGAGAGGGAGCCUGAGAAACGGCUACCACUUCCAAGGAAGGCAGCAGGCGCGCAAAUUACCCACUCUCGGCACGAGGAGGUAGUGACGAAAAAUAACGAGAUAACCCGCUCUAGCGAGUUAUCAUCGGAAUGAGUACAAUCUAAAUCCUUUAACGAGGACCUAGCGGAGGGCAAGUCUGGUGCCAGCAGCCGCGGUAAUUCCAGCUCCGCCAGUGUAUAUCUAUGCUGCUGCGGUUAAAAAGCUCGUAGUUGGAUCUUCGUGAUCGUCCCAGUCCGCCUUUGUGGCGUGAACUGACGACGUUCACUGAAUCGCUGCUUUACCCUUGUUGCUCUUAACCGGGUGACCUGGGUGGGUAGCAUGUUUACUUUGAAAAAAUUAGAGUGCUUAAAACAAGCGAUUUGCUUGAAUAUUCGUGCAUGGAAUAAUAGAAUAGGCUUUUGGCUCUAUUUUGUUGGUUUUCGGAGCACAAGAGAAUGAUUAAGAGGGACAGACGGGGGCAUUCGUACUCCGACGUUAGAGGUGAAAUUCUUGGAUCGUCGGAUGACGCACUACUGCGAAAGCAUUUGCCAAGAAUGUUUUCAUUAAUCAAGAACGAAAGUUAGAGGUUCGAAGGCGAUCAGAUACCGCCCUAGUUCUAACCGUAAACGAUGCCAACUAGCGAUCUGCUGGUGUUUUCUUAGACCCAGCAGGGAGCUUACCGGAAACGAAAGUCUUCAGGUUCCGGGGGAAGUAUGGUUGCAAAGCUGAAACUUAAAGGAAUUGACGGAAGGGCACCACCAGGAGUGGAGCCUGCGGCUUAAUUUGACUCAACACGGGAAAACUCACCCGGCCCGGACACCGUAAGGAUUGACAGAUUGAGAGCUCUUUCUUGAUUCGGUGGGUGGUGGUGCAUGGCCGUUCUUAGUUGGUGGAUUGAUUUGUCUGGUUUAUUCCGAUAACGAACGAGACUCCAACCUACUAACUAGUGGGCGAAUCUUCACGUUCGCAACACUUCUUAGAGGGACAAGCAGUGUUUAGCUGCAUGAGAAGGAGCAAUAACAGGUCUGUGAUGCCC
rnacentral:rRNA from 2 species